GGAGGGUUCAGUUUUUACUGACCAACCAUUUGACAGUUUAAAUGUUUAUGACCGUUUGAAACAACAGGUCAGUUUGGGGGACAAAGGAGGGUUCAGUUUUUACUGACCACCCAUCUGACAGUUUAAAUGUUUACGAUCGUCUGAAACAACUUCCAUACCUCACGAAAACAUAUUUAAACAGAUGGAGAAACUAGAGCAGAACACAGUGUAACCGCGAUUUGCAGAAUGAAAGGUAAUUUCUUUUUUUUUUUUUUUUCAUUCCUUGUAACACGUCUGUUUAAUGUUACUAUAAUAAGUAUUUAUUCGAACUAAAAACAGUCGAACAUCGAGUUGAAAUUCACCCACCACCAAGGGAUCUCCUAACAGAGUCUCCAAUCCUUUUGUCCGAUGACGACGAAGUGAAAGACGAAGAACUUUGUUUGAUCGAUCUUACAAAGUUGGAAGAUGAUUAUCGAGAGGAUUCGCCGGAAGAGACCAACGCGAUCCCUUUAACCCAAUCGCAGUCUGAUUUUCCGUUUACAUCUCUUGCUCACUGGUCUCCCUUAACGCUGGAGGGUCCGUCAACGGCCAUUCCAGGCAGAGGAGAAGGCUUGAUUGCGCCAAAGACUCCAGACAUCGAAUCUUUGCUCCGAGGGGAAAUCAUCGAAAACGACGGUGAAUGUCCAACAGGCACCCGCUGCAACAAACGCAGGAGGAAGCGUAGAUGCGCCCGCCAGCUCGACAAACAUGAUAGAAACAGAAGAAGGCUGAAACAGUACUAUCGUAUACUGGCUCGCACUCUCAUGAAGAUGGCAGACAUGAUUUGAUACAUACUGGUUUGUUAUAUCUGUUCCAUUCGAAUUAUUUUUUCUUUUUUUUCUUUAGAGAAAUAUAAUGGGUGUAGUUCCAUCUGAAUUAGAUGUAGUUAUUGUAGAAGAUGAAGACGUUUGUAAUCAUCAUUUAGAUCCAAACAACCAGAUAGAAUGGGAACCAAACGAUGAUCCGUCUUUGC